GUAAGUAGAGGUAGGGGAACCUGUCUCUAGUAAUUUUUU
rnacentral:rRNA from 1 species